GAGAGGGGGCUCUUUAACUUUAACUUUCUUUGCUUUGGUUCCAUCCAGCCCAUUUUCCCCAAAUUACUGUGUAAAGGAAGAAUAAAUUCCCUGUUAAAGGUAAUAUUCUCAUCCUCUGUCAUCUUUACCCGCACCUACAGUCACAUACCUCUUUACUUCCACCUACAGUCACAUACCUCUUUACUUCCACCUACAGUCACAUACCUCUUUACCUCUACCUACAGUCACAUACCUCUUUACUUCCACCUACAGUCACAUACCUCUUUACCUCUACCUACAGUCACAUACAUCUUUACCUCCACCUACAGUCCCAUACCUAUACCUACAGUCACAUACCUCUUUACCUCCACCUACAGUCACAUACCUCCACCUACAGUCACAUACCUCUUUACCUCCACCUACAGUCACAUACCUCUUUACCUCCACCUACAGUCACAUACCUCUUUACCUCCACCUACAGUCUCAUACCUCCACCUACAGUCACAUACCUCUUUACCGCCACCUACAGUCCCAUACCUCCACCUACAUUCCCAUACCUCUUUACCUCCACCUACAGUCACAUACCUCAACCUACAGUCACAUAUCUCCACCUACAGUCGCAUACCUCUUUACCUCCACCUACAGUCACAUAUCUCCACCUCCACCUACAGUCACAGACCUCUUUACCUCCACAUACAGUCCCAUACCUCUUUACCUCCACCUACAGUCACAUACCUCUUUACCUCCACAUACAGUCCCAUACCUCUUUACCUCCACCUACAGUCACAUACCUCUUUACCUCCACCUACAGUCCCAUACCUCUUUACCUCCACCUACAGUCACAUACCUCUUUACCUCCACCUACAGUCCCAUACCUCUUUACUUCCACCUACAGUCACAUACCUCUUUACCUCCACCUACAGUCCCAUACCUCCACCUACAGUCACAUACCUCCACCUACAGUCACAUACCUCUUUUCCUCCACCUACAGUCACAUACCUCCACCUGCAGUCACAUACCUCCACCUACAGUCACAUACCUCUUUACCCGCACCUACAGUCACAUACCUCCACCUACAGUCACAUACCUCUUUCACUCCACUGGGAGUUGAGUGUAGCGGGGUGUUGUGUUCCCUCCAAGAGGCUUAAGUAA
rnacentral:lncRNA from 1 species